rnacentral:rRNA from 1 species
AGCGAACGUUUGCGGCGGGCCUAACACAUGCAAGUCGAACGCACUAGCAAUAGUGAGUGGCGCACGGGUGCGUAACACGUGGGUAAUCAACCCUUCAGCCUGGGAUAACGACUCGAAAGGGUCGCUAAUACCGGAUACGGCGCGAGAGGCUUCGGCUUCUCACGAGAAAGCCACGCAAGGGGCGACUGAAGGACGAGCCUGCGGCCCAUCAGCUAGUUGGUGAGGUAAGAGCUCACCAAGGCUAAGACGGGUAGCUGGUCUGAGAGGAUGAUCAGCCACACUGGAACUGAGACACGGUCCAGACUCCUACGGGAGGGCAGCAGUGGGGGAAGUAUUGCGCAAUAGGGCGGAAAGACCUGACGCAGCCACGCCGCGUGAGCGAUGAAGGCCUCGGUCGUAAGA